GGAGGAUUCGCCUAGUUGGCCUAGGGCGCACGCUUGGAAAGCGUGUUGGGGGCAACCCCUCGCGGGUUCGAAUCCCGCAUCCUCCG
rnacentral:tRNA from 1 species